CAUCAACAUCAAGAGAAAGAUUGGGUUCUUCUCCAACCUGCUAACUCAGGCAAGGUGGAAUAAAAGAUGUGGUUAACCAACAAUUAAAUGAGGUAAU
rnacentral:ncRNA from 1 species